rnacentral:rRNA from 1 species
GACGAACGCUGGCGGCGUGCUUAACACAUGCAAGUCGAACGGAAAGGCCCUGCUUUUGUGGGGUGCUCGAGUGGCGAACGGGUGAGUAACACGUGAGUAACCUGCCCUUGACUUUGGGAUAACUUCAGGAAACUGGGGCUAAUACCGGAUAGGAGCUCCUGCUGCAUGGUGGGGGUUGGAAAGUUUCGGCGGUUGGGGAUGGACUCGCGGCUUAUCAGCUUGUUGGUGGGGUAGUGGCUUACCAAGGCUUUGACGGGUAGCCGGCCUGGGAGGGUGACCGGCCACAUUGGGACUGAGAUACGGCCCAGACUCCUACGGGAGGCAGAAGUGGGGAAUAUUGCACAAUGGGCGGAAGCCUGAUGCAGCAACGCCGCGUGCGGGAUGACGGCCUUCGGGUUGUAAACCGCUUUCGCCUGUGACGAAGCGUGAGUGACGGUAAUGGGUAAAGAAGCACCGGCUAACUACGUG